ACCUUCCUUGUCUGGGGGUGGAUUGGGCGGUUCAAUGAACGUAUAGUGAGAACAGCCCUGCUGACACCUAACCAACACAAUCCGCAUCACCUGAACUUUCACGUUUGGGCUAUGGUGCAAUUUUUGGAACC
ensembl:snRNA